UAUAAACCAGGACACUAAACGAUCAAAUAAAUAUUGUUUAUUUCUGCUCGGGGCUGCUUGAAACACCUCCAACCAAGGCAAACCCGAGGGAUGAAGCCAAGGCAGCAGCUUGCAUGGUAGCAUGACUUUAGAAGAGGAGGAGGGAACACAGGAAUAGCCACAGCCACGAUACCAGCCAACCCGCCCAGG